rnacentral:rRNA from 1 species
GAUUAAGCCAUGCAUGUGUAAGUAUAAAUAAUUCUACUUUGAAACUGCGAAUGGCUCAUUAUAUCGGUUAUAGUUUAUUUGAUGAAAUGUACUACUUGGAUAACCGUAGUAAUUCUAGAGCUAAUACAUGAUCAAUUCCUCGACUUUGAAGAGGUGUAUUUAUUAGAAUGAAAACCAAUAGACUUUGUCUGUUUGUGAGUAAUAAUAACUUGUCAUAUCGCAUGCUUAGGUAGCGAUGUUUCUUUUAAGUUUCUGCCCUAUCAGCUUUCGAUGGUAGUGUAUUGGACUACCAUG